rnacentral:tRNA from 1 species
GCCGGUGUGGUGAAAUUGGUAGACGCGCCGGAUUCAAAAUCCGGUUCCGCAAGGAGUGUCGGUUCGAGUCCGACCACCGGCACCA